UAAGUCCCGCAACGAGCCGCAACCCUUAUCCUUGUUUGCCAGCACUUCGGUGGGAACUCCAGGGAGACUGCCGGUGAUAAACCGGAGGAAGUGGGGACGACGUCAAGUCAUCAUGGCCCUUACGAGUAGGGCUACACACGUGCUACAAUGGCAUAUACAGAGGGCAGCAAGACCGCGAGGUGGAGCGAAUCCCAGAAAGUAUGUCGUAGUCCGGAUCGGAGUCUGCAACUCGACUCCGUGAAGUCGGAAUCGCUAGUAAUCGUGGAUCAGAAUGCCACGGUGAAUACGUUCCCGGGCCUU
rnacentral:rRNA from 1 species